AGUGAACGCUGGCGGUAGGCCUAACACAUGCAAGUCGAACGGCAGCACAGGAGAGCUUGCUCUCUGGGUGGCGAGUGGCGGACGGGUGAGGAAUACAUCGGAAUCUACUUUUUCGUGGGGGAUAACGUAGGGAAACUUACGCUAAUACCGCAUACGACCUACGGGUGAAAGCAGGGGAUCUUCGGACCUUGCGCGGUUGAAUGAGCCGAUGUCGGAUUGGCUAGUUGGCGGGGUAAAGGCCCACCAAGGCGACGAUCCGUAGCUGGUCUGAGAGGAUAAUCAGCCACACUGGAACUGAGACACGGUGCAGACUCCUACGGGAGGAAGCAGUGGGGAAUAUUGGACAAUGGGCGCAAGCCUGAUCCAGCCAUACCGCGUGGGUGAAGAAGGCCUUCGGGUUGUAAAGCCCUUUUGUUGGGAAAGAAAUCCAGCUGGUUAAUACCCGGUUGGGAUGACGGUACCCAAAGAAUAAGCACCGGCUAACUUCGUGCCAGCAGCCGCCGUAA
rnacentral:rRNA from 1 species